rnacentral:rRNA from 1 species
UACGUAGGCAGCAAGCGUUGUUCGGAAUUACUGGGCGUAAAGGGUGCGUAGGCGGCUUUUUAAGUUUGGUGUGAAAUCUCCCGGCUCAACUGGGAGGGUGCGCCGAAUACUGAGAAGCUAGAGUGUGGGAGAGGAAAGUGGAAUUCCUGGUGUAGCGGUGAAAUGCGUAGAUAUCAGGAGGAACACCGAUGGCGAAGGCAGAUCUCUGGGCCGUUACUGACGCUGAGGAGCGAAAGCGUGGGGAGCGAACAGG